UAUCAGUAUGUGGAUGUGAAGAUGAGGAUGUUUAUCAGGAUGUGGCUGUGAAGAUGAGGUUAUUCAGGAUGUGGCUGUGAAGUAGAGGAGGUUAAACAGGAUGUGGCUGUGAAGGUGAGGACGUUUAUCAGGAUGUGGCUGUGAAGAUGAGGAGGUUUAACAGGAUGUGGCUGUGAAGAUGAGGUCGCUUAACAGGAUGUGGCUGUGAAGGUGAGGACCUUUUAUCAGGAUGUGGCUGUGAAGAUGAGGUCGCUUAACAGGAUGUGGCUGUGAAGGUGAGGACCUUUUAUCAGGAUGUGGCUGUGAAGAUGAGGAGGUUUAUCAGGAUGUGGCUGUGAAGAUGAGGAGGUUUAUCAGGAUGUGGCUGUGAAGAUGAGGAGGUUUAUCAGGAUGUGGCUGUGAAGAUGAGGAGGUUUAUCAGGAUGUGGCUGUGAAGAUGAGGAUGUUUAAUAUUCACCUGAAGUUAGCCCUAACGUUCAUAACAACACCAAGGGAACACACACAAGCACAGGCACAUGCACGCACGCACGUACGCACGUACCAUAUUUACCAUCGUUUCAUUACAUUAUCCUAUUUCAGCUGUUGGUCAUUUAGGAAACAGCAUUGUGUCUGUCUG
rnacentral:lncRNA from 1 species